CCUGGUUGUAGGAGUCCAGUGUGAACACAAGGCAGUGUUACAUAGCACUUUGGGACUUUCUUACAAUGCUACAGAGCCCAUAUUCCUUUACACUGACUCAGUUGGUCAAAUCCAGGUGCUUCUCAAACCAGCCCAGCCACAGGCAGAGGCAGGAGAGAUGAGGAUGGUGCACACAUGUCCUGUAGCCAGUGAAUCAUCAGGCCAUGUGUUUCACCUCUCACUGUGAGCCAAGGACAGACACCGGACCAAGAUUCUCAAAGCCUCACUCAGCCACAGAGGAGCUGAUACUCAGCUAAUGACAAGACCAGGCUCUGAACCGGCCAGGCGCCAGCACCCACACAGCCCCACUCAUACUUCACUUGGGGGAGGGGGGAUUUUAAAUAUCUGAGCACUAUAACUACGGUACUUUGUGUAACAGUGCAGAUGCUUUGGGAAUGGCUUAUGGACAUCAGUUUUCAAAUCUUCAUGCAGAUUCUCAGAAGUGUUCGAGUCAGGACUUUGAGCCAUUCAAGGAUAUUCACGUCUUUAUUCAUUGUAGCUUUGACUUUGUAUUUUGAGUCAUUUUCCUGGGUUUAGGUCUUUCACAGAAUAGCAGGUUAUCUUCUAAGAUUUGCCUGUAUUUUGGACCAUCUAUUUUUCCCUCAACCUUGUCAAUUCGCUACUGAUGAGCAGCAGCACGUUACCAUACCGCUGCCACACAUGCCUGACAGUAGGGUUGCAGGUAUGGUGCUGACGGUUAAUGCACUGCACUGACUGUGCACCAGAUAUAACACUUUCCGUUUAGAUCAGAAAGUUCAGAUUGUCUCCCACCUGAACACCAAAAACGUUUGCCAUAUGUUAGCAAAAUAUCAUUUAAAUGCUUUCUGGCAAACUCCGUGCAGGAUUUGAGAUGGAUUUGUCUUUUUGCCACAGAGUUACACUCUGUAACUCCCUCACAGACGCUGUUGGCCUCAUGGCUGUGUCUGCUCAGUUUGGAGAGACAGCUUGAUGUAGGCAGUGUCUGGGAAGUAUGAUUCACCUUCUUCUUCUUGAUUGAGUUGACUGUGUUCACUCAUAUUAAGAGACUUCAAUAUUUUCCGUACCGUUCUGUACCUGAUCUGUGCCUUUCACUUUAUCAACUUAUCCCUGACCGGCCUUGAAAGCGCCUUAAUCUUAAUGGUUGAGUCUUUGCUUGACAUUCACUACCUGACCAAGGAACCUCACAGACAGAUGUAUUUAUUUUGUUUGUAUAACAGCACACAGACAGAGCCCAAUCAACUAAUUGUGUGGCUCUGUAAGAUAAUUUUGUGCACCUGAAUUAAUUUAGGUUUGCCACAGCAAAGGGUUGGAAUACUAACGCAGCUGUGACUAUUCCAUUCUCCUUUCAUAUUAAUUAUAUGUAAAAAUGUCUUCCUUGUUUUGAUUUGUAUG